GUAUAAAAAUGUGGUAUAAAAAUAUGAUAUGAAUAUAAUUACUGCAUCUGAAUUUAUUGUGGUUUGGAUAAAAUCCCCUUGACUAUACUGUAAACACAAACCAAAAGAAGAAAAAUCCAACCUUUCAUUUGACAGAAGUCAAAUAAUCACUGACUUAAUUACAUCCUAAUCAAAUUCCUAAUCAUGAUUAACAUAAUAAAACCCCAAAAUUAGUGAUCCCAACUGUGUGAUUGCUGCAUAAGCUAGCAUCUCUGGAUCUGCAGACAAAUUCUCAGAAGAGAGAGAAGCAGUAGGGGAUUUGCUUGUUGGGGAGGAAAGGAAGCACAGCAAUUACAAGAACAAAAGAGAAGCAAAUUAAAUGACCUUUUUCACAAGUUUUCCCUCAACCACAUAACCUCGUCCAAUUUAGUGUAAAUUGUCUACUGUAAAAAAUGCCAAGACUGAAACUUUCACAGGGAAAAAAGCUGCUCCUUCUUGAUGAUGGCAGGGCACAAAGAAUUCAAGGAAAAAUGAAGUUACACCAUUACAACCGGAUCAGCUGCAACUAGUUUUCAAACUAUCACAAAUAUAUAUCGCCCAUUACAUUCAUGUGGGUCGAACUUAAAACCUCGAACGAUUGAAAGCUAGUUGAAUAUGUACUCUCCAAUUAAAUAGAGGCCUGCCUGUUCCCCAACCAAAAACU
rnacentral:lncRNA from 1 species